GUUUUUACUGCUGGCUAUCUUGGCCUCUGCUUUUUGCUCUGGUGUAGCUACACCUUCACUAUCUUGUUCAUGCUCGUUGACUGGUACCACAAAUGACUUCCAGAAAUCAUCAGACUCAGAAUUCUUCUUCGCUAAGCUAGAAGUUGAGGUUAAGUCUUCCUCAGAAGUUGAGGUCAAGUCUUCCUCAGAAGUUGAGGUCAAGUCUUCCUCAGAUAGAAGUUCAUCAAUUUCAUCAUUAUCGACAUCAC
rnacentral:lncRNA from 1 species